ACUCUUAUAUUAAAGCUUGUUCCAAUAUAUAUUUGGUCAAGCUAUUAAGGGCUGCUGGUGGAUGCCUAGGCAUCAAUAGGCGAUGAAGGACGCGUUUACCUGCGAAAAGCUCCGGCGAGCUGGAAUAAAGCUGCGACCCGGAGAUAUCCGAAUGGGGCAACCCAAUGGGACUAAUCUCCCAUUAUCUUUAGCUGAAUACAUAGGCUAUAGAAGCGAUACCUGCUGAACUGAAACAUCUUAGUAAGCAGAGGAAAAGAAAUCAAUUGAGAUUCCCUAAGUAGCGGCGAGCGAAACGGGAUGAGCCCAAACCAAAGUCUUUGACUUUGGGGUUGUAGGACCAGCCAAAAGAUUUGGAAAUUCUAGUCGAAUACUUCUGGAAAGUUGAGCGACACAGGGUGAUAGCCCCGUAGACGAAAGAAUGACCAAACAAGGCAGGCACCUGAGUAGGGCCGGACACGUGAAACCCGGUCUGAAUCUGGGGAGACCACUCUCCAAGGCUAAAUACUAAUUGAUGACCGAUAGUGAACCAGUACCGUGAGGGAAAGGUGAAAAGAACCCCGAUGAGGGGAGUGAAAUAGAACCUGAAACCAGCAGCUUACAAACGGUCGAAGGCCUAUGUCCUUUUUAAGGAAAUGGCUAACGGCGUGCCUUUUGCAUGAUGAGCCAGCGAGUUACUAUUAAAUGGCAAGGUUAAGGGACAACGUUCUGGAGCCGAAGCGAAAGCGAGUGUUAAAAGCGCGUAUAGUCAUUUGAUGUAGACACGAAACCGAGUGAUCUAUCCAUGACCAGGUUGAAGCAAGGGUAACACCUUGUGGAGGACCGAACUAGUUGCCGUUGAAAAGGCUUUGGAUGAGUUGUGGAUAGGGGUGAAAGGCCAAUCAAACUCGGAGAUAUCUUGUUCUCUUCGAAAUAACUUUCGGGUUAGCCUCGAACAUAAUUAUCUACAGGGGUAGAGCACUGAAUUCACGCGGGGGCCUACCGGCCUACCAAAGGAAAUCAAACUCCGAAUACUGUAGAUUCGUUCGGGAGAUAGACAGUGGGGGAUAAGCUUCAUUGUCAAAAGGGGAACAGCCCAGAUCGCCGAUUAAGGCCCCAAAUUCUAUGCUAAGUGAGUAAGGAAGUGGAGUUUCUAAAACAGUUGGAAUGUUGGCUUAGAGGCAGCCAUCAUUUAAAGAGUGCGUAACAGCUCACCAAUCGAGAAACUCUGCGCCGAUAAUAUCCGGGACUAAUAAGCAUAGAGCCGAAAUCGCGGGUUUAGCUUGUAAAAGCUAAGCGGUAGGAGAGCGUAGUAUGUGCAGCGAAGAUGUACCGUAAGGAGCAUUGGAGCGCAUACUAGUGAUAAUGCAUGGCAUGAGUAAACGAUAAAGGAGGUGAAAAUCCUCCUCGCCGAAAAUCCAAGGUUUCCAGGGUAAAGCUCGUCUUCCCUGGGUUAGCCGGUCCCUAAGCCGAGGCUGAAAAGCGUAGGCGAUGGCAAGCAGGUUAAAUAUUCCUGCGCCACCUAAAACUAUGAUGAUGAGUUGACGAAGUACGUUAAGCACGCGGACGAUUGGAAGUGUCCGUGGACAUAUGAGGCCGGCUAGUAGGCAAAUCCGCUAGCAUAAAGCCAGGUAUGGACCAAGGGGAGCCCUCGGGUGAACCGAUAGUGUAGCGCAACGCUUCCAAGAAAUAGACUCUAAUCGUUGAUGGUGACCGUACCAAAACCGACACAGGUGGAUGGGAAGAAUAUUCUCAGGCGCGCGAGAGAACUCUCGUUAAGGAACUCGGCAAAUUAUCCCCGUAACUUCGGGAGAAGGGGAGCCACGGGGUGUGACAUUCUUCGCGAAUGAAGCAUCAAGUGGCCGCAGAGAAAUGGCCCAGGCGACUGUUUAACAAAAACACAGCACUAUGCAAAGUCGUCUAAGACGAAGUAUAUGGUGUGAUGCCUGCCCAAUGCCAAAAGGUCAAAAGGAGAAGUUAGUGCGCAAGUGCGAAGCUUUGAAUUUAAGCCCUGGUGAAUGGCGGCCGUAACUAUAACGGUCCUAAGGUAGCGAAAUUCCUUGUCGGGUAAGUUCCGACCUGCACGAAUGGUAUAACGAUCUGGGCACUGUCUCAACGAGAGACUCGGUGAAAUUGUAGUAGCAGUGAAGAUGCUGUUUACCCGCAAUAAGACGGAAAGACCCCGUGAACCUUUACUGUACUCUGAUAUUGGCUUUUGACUUGUCAUGUGUAGGAUAACCAGGAGACAUUGAAGUCCCCUCGUCAGGGGGGAUGGAGUCAACGUUGAAAUACUGGUCUUGACAAGCCGGAAAUCUAACGAAAUUCCAUGAAUCUGGAAUUCGGACAUUGUCAGACGGGCAGUUUUGCUGGGGCGGUAUCCUCCUAAAAGGUAACGGAGGAGUCCAAAGCUUGCCUCAUCGUGGUUGGUAAUCACGAGUCGAGCGUAAAGGUAUAAGGCAAGUUAACUGCGAGACCAACAAGUCGAGCAGAUACGAAAGUAGGGCUUAGUGAUCCGGCGGUGGAAAGUGGAAUCGCCGUCGCUCAACGGAUAAAAGGUACUCCGGGGAUAACAGGCUUAUCGCCACCAAGAGUUCAUAUCGACGUGGCGGUUUGGCACCUCGAUGUCGACUCAUCGCAUCCUGGGGCUGGAGAAGGUCCCAAGGGUUUGGCUGUUCGCCAAUUAAAGCGGUACGCGAGUUGGGUUCAAAACGUCGUGAGACAGUUUGGUCCCUAUCUGUUGUGGGCGUAGGAUACUUGAGAGGAGCUGCUUCUAGUACGAGAGGACCGAAGUGGACGAACCAAUGGUGUUCCGGUUGUUCUGCCAAGAGCAUCGCCGGGUAGCUAUGUUCGGAAAGGAUAAGCGUUGAAAGCAUCUAAACGCCAAGCCCCCCUCAAGAUAAGGUAUCCCUAUGAGACUCCAUGUAGACCACGUGGUAGAUAGGUUGGGUGUGUAAGCACAGUAAUGUGUUGAGCUAACCAAUACUAAUCAGUCCAUUGGCUUGACCACCUUUUUUUAAGAAUGAAGAGAUGAAGACCAUAAAGUCAUCUUGGAUAGAAA
rnacentral:rRNA from 1 species